rnacentral:lncRNA from 1 species
GGCCUGUUGGGUAACCUUGGGACAGGAAAUCAUCAGGACAUCCAGAGUAAGUAUUCAAAGCCCCUUCCUGCCGUUCCCAUCGACUGCGAGUCCGCUGAGACAAAUAGCCUUCCAGUGACUGCUCACACACAGUGCCAAGUGUGGUUUGGAUUAAGAAAUGGCACUGUCACGUUACCUGAAAGUCACCUACUAUUAUUUUUCUUUACCUUGGGCUUAACCAGUGCAAUGCAUUUGUUCAUCUCCACCCAAAGAGAGACUGCCCGUCGCCUCCUUCCACCGCCGAGCAGCAGGCCGCAGCUGCCGCAGCACCUGCACGCGCACGCGCUCAGGUUUGUGAGCCACCGCGCCCAGAUUCCCAAGAUUGGGACUGCUGGGAAGCAGAUUUGGUUCAACUGACAGAGCACCCACUUACCGUAUGGGAGGUCCAGGGUUCAAACCCAGGGCCUCCUGACCCGUGUCGUGAGCUGGCCCACGUGCAGUGCUGCCACACACAAGGAGUGCACCCCUCAAGAAGAGCCACCCCGAGUGAAAAAAGUGCAGCCUGCCCAGGAGUGGCACUGCACACAUGGAGAGCUGAUGCAGCAAGAUGACACAACAAAAAGAGACACAGAUUCCUGAUACCACUGACAAGAAUGAAAGUGGACACAGAGAGCAGAGAACAAGGUGGGGGGGAGGGGAAGGGGAGAGAAAUAAAUAAAAAAUAGAUCUUAAAAAAAAAAAGAUGUUUUUAAGGAAAAAAAAGAGAUUGGGACUGCUGAGGUUUUAAUAAGUAUUCCUCACCCCUGCCAGUAAAAGUUAUCUCUUUUUAAUUAUUUGUUAGUCUGAUGGGUAUAAAGUGACAUCAC